GUAUUCCCAGUAUCCCCAGUUUCCGCCGAACCCCAAACAUCCCCAGACCCCGGCGGGUUCCAACAACUUUAAUGGGGCACAACAAGGGGGGGACAAAACCAGUUCAGGCUCCCAGUUUGUCCCAGUUUGGGUUCCCAGUUUGGGCUCCAAUCCCAGUUUGGGCUCCAAUCCCAGUC
rnacentral:lncRNA from 1 species